rnacentral:rRNA from 1 species
AAAAGAUGGUUCUGCUAUCACUCUUGGAUGGACCUGCGGUGCAUUAGCUAGUUGGUAAGGUAACGGCUUACCAAGGCAAUGAUGCAUAGCCGAGUUGAGAGACUGAUCGGCCACAUUGGGACUGAGACACGGCCCAAACUCCUACGGGAGGCAGCAGUAGGGAAUCUUCCACAAUGGACGCAAGUCUGAUGGAGCAACGCCGCGUGAGUGAAGAAGGGUUUCGGCUCGUAAAGCUCUGUUGGUAGUGAAGAAAGAUAGAGGUAGUAACUGGCCUUUAUUUGACGGUAAUUACCUAGAAAGUCACGGCUAACUACGUGCCAGCAGCCGCGGUAAUACGUAGGUGGCAAGCGUUGUCCGGAUUUAUUGGGCGUAAAGCGAGUGCAGGCGGUUCAAUAAAUCUGAUGUGAAAGCCUUCGGCUCAACCGGAGAAUUGCAUCAGAAACUGUUGAACUUGAGUGCAGAAGAGGAGAGUGGAACUCCAUGUGUAGCGGUGGAAUGCGUAGAUAUAUGGAAGAACACCAGUGGCGAAGGCGGCUCUCUGGUCUGCAACUGACGCUGAGGCUCGAAAGCAUGGGUAGCGAACAGGAUUAGAUACCCUGGUAGUCCAUGCCGUAAACGAUGAGUGCUAAGUGUUGGGAGGUUUCCGCCUCUCA